UAGGGAAUCUUCGGCAAUGGGGGGAACCCUGACCGAGCAACGCCGCAUGAGUGAAGAAGGUUUUCGGUUCGUAAAGCUCUGUUGUUAAGGAAGAACGAGUGUGAGAAUGGAAAGUUCAUGCUGUGACGGUACUUAACCAGAAAGGGACGGCUAACUACGUUCCAGCAGCCGCGGUAAUACGUAGGUCCCGAGCGUUGUCCGGAUUUAUUGGGCGUAAAGCGAGCGCAGGCGGUUAGAAAAGUCUGAAGUGAAAGGCAGUGGCUCAACAAGUGUAGGCUUUGGAAACUGGUGAACUUGAGUGCAGAAGGGGAGAGUGGAAGUCCAUGUGGAGCGGGGAAAGGCGUAGAUAUAUGGAGGAAGAACGGGGGCGAAAGCGGCUCUCUGGUGUGUAACUGACGCUGAGGAUGGAAAGAGUGGGGAGCGAACAGG
rnacentral:rRNA from 1 species